UACAGAGGGUGCAAGCGUUAAUCGGAAUUACUGGGCGUAAAGCGUGCGUAGACGGUUAUGUAAGUCAGAUGUGAAAGCCCCGGGCUUAACCUGGGAAUGGCAUUUGAGACUGCAUAGCUAGGGUGCGGAAGAGGGAAGCGGAAUUUCCGGUGUAGCGGUGAAAUGCGUAGAUAUCGGAAGGAACACCAGUGGCGAAAGCGGCUUCCUGGUCCAGCACCGACGUUCAGGCACGAAAGCGUGGGGAGCAAACGGG
rnacentral:rRNA from 1 species